rnacentral:piRNA from 1 species
UGCGGUGGCUCAUGUCUGUAAUCCCAGCAU